AGCGUUUGGGUAACCGAGUGCUAUGUUAGUGGCGAACGGGUGAGGAAUACAUGGAUAACGUACCCCGGGCUCGAGAAUAGCGGCGGGAACUUCGGUUUCCUUUGCGAAAGUGCCGGUAAUACUCGAUGAUCCCGCGGAAUCGCAUGGUUCUGCGGGCAAAGCUCCGACGGCCUGGGAGCGGUCCAUGUCCUAUCAGCUUGUUGGUGGGGUAACGGCCUACCAAGGCGGCGACGGGUACUGGGUGUGAGAGCAUGACCCAGCACAUCGGGACUGAGACACUGCCCGGACACCUACGGGUGGCUGCAGCAACGAAUAUUCCGCAAUGGACGAAAGUCUGACGGAGCGACGCCGCGUGCAGGAUGAAGCCUUUCGGGGUGUAAACUGCUGUCAGGGGUUAGGAAGAUCUGACCAACCCCAAAGGAAGCCUCGGCUAACUCCGUGCCAGCAGCCGCGGUAACACGGAGGAGGCAAGCGUUGUUCGGAAUCACUGGGCUUGAAGCGGGUGUAGGCGGGGUAGCAGGUGUUCUGUGAAAGCCCUCGGCUCAACCGAGGAAUUGCAGGGCAAACCGUUACUCUUGAGGCGGGUAGGGGCAAGUGGAACUAUGGGUGGAGCGGUGAAAUGCGUUGAUAUCCAUGGGAACGCCGGUGGCGAAAGCGGCUUGCUGGGCCCGUCCUGACGCUGAGACCCGAAAGCGUGGGUAGCAAACAGGAUUAGAUACCCUGGUAGUCCACGCCGUAAACGAUGCGCACUAGGUACGAGGACUCUGACGGUGUUCGUGCCGAAGGGAAACUGUUAAGUGCGCCGCCUGGGGAGUACGGCCGCAAGGCUAAAACUCAAAG
rnacentral:rRNA from 1 species